GGGAACCAUUUCAUUUUAGGAAUCCCCCCCCCACCAUGGGGACUGGUUUCAAAAACUCCUGGUCAGCACAAAAGGUUCUAUAGCACCUCCACAUCUGCCCCUCGUGGCUGCAACUGCUCCUGUGUCCACCUCCUCUCAACUUCAAAUACCACCCCAAAAGUUGAAGAGAAGUCCUGGGCUUGACUCAUUAGUUCUGUUGGGCUAUAUGCACAUCUCUGAACUAAUAUGGUGGCCAAAGGAAUGAGCUGUUGAAUAAGUUAAAUCAUUCAAAACCAAUUCUGCAGCCCACGUGAGCAGAAGAAAAAGGAAUGGAGACCUUCCUAGAGCAGCUCCCAUGUGUCUUCCCAGAAGGUGUUAAAGAGAUACUUUGGUGGGGAAACAGACAGAUACUUAAAGGCACAGAGAUCCAAGUUCCUAUGCCACAGGUGACUGGAUCACACCAAAGUCCCUGGAAUCCUGAGGUUCUCCGAGCUCAGAUGCGUCAAGGAGAGGCACAACAUCCAUACUGCCAGGCUCUGGGCCCCUGCCUCUGGCCAGAGCCUGCCUCCAGCUUUCCCUCCUGCUGCACCACUGGAAUAUCCUCCCUCACCAUCCCUGCCCAUGGACCCUGCUCAGUCUUUUGAGCCUUCGCCUCCCUCCCUCCUGGCACCCUCUGCAUUAUGGAGAUCGGCCUGAAACUGCUUUUUUAUUUGGAUCGACUCCCACUAAGUCGGUAAACAGGAAGGGGCCUCUGAAAUGCCAGCCCCAGGGAAUCCAGUAAACAACUCCUUCCUUCAAGGGCACUAAUGUUUCACCUGGGAAGAACGUUU